rnacentral:rRNA from 1 species
GUGGGGGAUAUUGCACAAUGGGGGAAACCCUGAUGCAGCAACGCCGCGUGAAGGAAGAAGGUCUUCGGAUUGUAAACUUCUGUCCUCAGGGAAGAUAAUGACGGUACCUGAGGAGGAAGCUCCGGCUAACUACGUGCCAGCAGCCGCGGUAAUACGUAGGGAGCAAGCGUUGUCCGGAUUUACUGGGUGUAAAGGGUGCGUAGGCGGAUCUGCAAGUCAGUAGUGAAAUCCCAGGGCUUAACCCUGGAACUGCUAUUGAAACUGUGGGUCUUGAGUGAGGUAGAGGCAGGCGGAAUUCCCGGUGUAGCGGUGAAAUGCGUAGAGAUCGGGAGGAACACCAGUGGCGAAGGCGGCCUGCUGGGCCUUAACUGACGCUGAGGCACGAAAGCAUGGGUAGCAAACAGGA